AGGAAUUCUACAAAUAAGACCCAGUUAUGUGUCAGAGGGGUAUCGAGUGUUUUGUUGCGUAAAAUCAAGCUUAUUGGUUGUAGAGAGGGGUUAUGCCCUCAGCCACGGAGGUUAUGCUCCCAACCCAGUCAUUGUAAAAUAGCUUUCUUUUACUUUGAAUAAUAUAGAAGACCCAUUCUUUCUUUCUGUUUCUAUCUUUUGAGUGGGUUCUCAUCACUGCUAAAAAUAAUUGUUGUACUUCCCAUAAUUGACCCAAAAUGGAUGGUUUUAAAAGUGAUUUUAUGUACAAGUGAUUCUGACACUUUACUAACCAUUUGAACAGUUUUAAAUCAUCAAAAUACACUUGUUUAAACUUAAUUUUGG
rnacentral:lncRNA from 1 species